UGUUAAAAAUUUCAUCCAUUGUACUGUUAAAACUGACGUGGAUGACGAAAUAACCAGACAGUGACAUGUGGUGUGCCACGUAUACAAUAUGUUGAUAUAUUGAGACCCGUUUUUAAAAGUAAAAAUGGAUAAAAAUUUUAACA
rfam:Gossypium raimondii Chr05_contig_92, whole genome shotgun sequence.